rnacentral:rRNA from 1 species
UACGUAGGGUGCGAGCGUUGUCCGGAAUUACUGGGCGUAAAGAGCUCGUAGGUGGUUUGUCGCGUUGUUCGUGAAAUCUCACGGCUUAACUGUGAGCGUGCGGGCGAUACGGGCAGACUAGAGUACUGCAGGGGAGACUGGAAUUCCUGGUGUAGCGGUGGAAUGCGCAGAUAUCAGGAGGAACACCGGUGGCGAAGGCGGGUCUCUGGGCAGUAACUGACGCUGAGGAGCGAAGGCGUGGGGAGCGAACAGG